rnacentral:rRNA from 1 species
GAUGAACGCUGGCGGCGUGCCUAAUACAUGCAAGUCGAGCGAACAGACGAGGAGCUUGCUCCUCUGACGUUAGCGGCGGACGGGUGAGUAACACGUGGAUAACCUACCUAUAAGACUGGGAUAACUUCGGGAAACCGGAGCUAAUACCGGAUAAUAUAUUGAACCGCAUGGUUCAAUAGUGAAAGACGGUUUUGCUGUCACUUAUAGAUGGAUCCGCGCCGCAUGAGCUAGUUGGUAAGGUAACGGCUUACCAAGGCGACGAUGCGUAGCCGACCUGAGAGGGUGAUCGGCCACACUGGAACUGAGACACGGUCCAGACUCCUACGGGAGGCAGCAGUAGGGAAUCUUCCGCAAUGGGCGAAAGCCUGACGGAGCAACGCCGCGUGAGUGAUGAAGGUCUUCGGAUCGUAAAACUCUGUUAUUAGGGAAGAACAAAUGUGUAAGUAACUAUGCACGUCUUGACGGUACCUAAUCAGAAAGCCACGGCUAACUACGUG